rnacentral:misc_RNA from 1 species
GAUGAGGCGUUUCGAGAAUCUAGCAGAUCGUCGAAUGAGAUGUCUGAUGUGUGACCGAGUUCUGAUGAAACUUCUUCCAGCAGCUGCCUUGACGUAGAGUGCCAUAUGGCUAGCGGAAAUCCGCCCGCAUGGCAGAGUUGUAUGAGUUGUCGAGCUGUUUGAGUGAGCUCGUCCACCGUAUCUGACCCUCCGAAGAUGUCGUCAACGUAUCGACCGUGAGUGAUCGGUUCCACAGCGAGGGGGUACCUUGAGCCUUCGUCCUCAGCAAGCUGAAGCAGCGUCCUUACAGCUGAGAACGGAGCUACUUUGGUUCCGUACGU